CACGUAGGGCGCAAGCGUUGUCCGGAAUUAUUGGGCGUAAAGAGCGCGUAGGUGGUUUGUUACGUCCGCUGUGAAAUCCUAGGGCUUAACCCUGGGCUUGCAGUGGAUACGGGCAGACUAGAGGUAGGUAGGGGAGAAUGGAAUUCCUGGUGUAGCGGUGAAAUGCGCAGAUAUCAGGAGGAACACCGGUGGCGAAGGCGGGUCUCUGGGCCGAUACUGACGCUGAGGAGCGAAAGCGUGGGGAGCGAACAGG
rnacentral:rRNA from 1 species